GAUCAUGGCUCAGGAUGAACGCUGGCGGCGUGCUUAACACAUGCAAGUCGAACGAAGCACUUUAAUUGAUUUCUUCGGAAUGAAGUUUUUGUGACUGAGUGGCGGACGGGUGAGUAACGCGUGGGUAACCUGCCUCAUACAGGGGGAUAACAGUUGGAAACGACUGCUAAUACCGCAUAAGCGCACGGGAUUGCAUGAUCCAGUGUGAAAAACUCCGGUGGUAUGAGAUGGACCCGCGU
rnacentral:rRNA from 1 species